rnacentral:rRNA from 1 species
AUUGAACGCUGGCGACAUGCUUUACACAUGCAAGUCGAGCGGCAGCGCGGGACUCAGGCAACUGAGCCCUGGCGGCGAGCGGCGAACGGGUGAGGAAUCCAUCGGAACGUACCCCGGAGUGGGGGAUAACGCCGCGAAAGCGGCGCUAAUACCGCAUAUGCUCUGUGGAGGAAAGUGGGGGACCCUGUGAGGGGCCUCACGCUCUGGGCGCGGCCGAUGUCCGAUUAGCUAGUUGGUGGGGUAAUGGCUUACCAAGGCGACGAUCGGUAGCUGGUCUGAGAGGAUGAUCAGCCACACUGGGACUGAGACACGGCCCAGACUCCUACGGGAGGCAGCAGUGGGGAAUUUUGGACAAUGGGGCAACCCUGAUCCAGCCAUGCCGCGUGC